GACAGAGGGUGCAAACGUUGCUCGGAAUCACUGGGCGUAAAGGGCGUGUAGGCGGGACGGUAAGUCGGGCGUGAAAUCCCUAGGCUCAACCUAGGAACUGCACUCGAAACUACCAUUCUUGAGUGUCGGAGAGGAAAGCGGAAUUCCUGGUGUAGAGGUGAAAUUCGUAGAUAUCAGGAGGAACACCAGUGGCGAAGGCGGCUUUCUGGACGAUAACUGACGCUGAGACGCGAAAGCGUGGGGAGCAAAAGGG
rnacentral:rRNA from 1 species